rnacentral:rRNA from 1 species
UACGUAGGGUGCAAGCGUUGUCCGGAAUUAUUGGGCGUAAAGAGCUCGUAGGCGGUUUGUCGCGUCUGCUGUGAAAACUGGAGGCUCAACCUCCAGCCUGCAGUGGGUACGGGCAAACUAGAGUGCGGUAGGGGAGAUUGGAAUUCCUGGUGUAGCGGUGGAAUGCGCAGAUAUCAGGAGGAACACCAAUAGCGAAGGCAGCUCGCUGGGACGUCACUGACACUGAGGCGCGAAAGCAUGGGGAGCGAACAGG